rnacentral:rRNA from 1 species
UACGUAGGGUGCGAGCGUUGUCCGGAAUUAUUGGGCGUAAAGAGCUUGUAGGCGGUUUGUCGCGUCUGCUGUGAAAAUCCGGGGCUCAACCCCGGACUUGCAGUGGGUACGGGCAGACUAGAGUGUGGUAGGGGAGACUGGAAUUCCUGGUGUAGCGGUGAAAUGCGCAGAUAUCAGGAGGAACACCGAUGGCGAAGGCAGGUCUCUGGGCCAC